rnacentral:lncRNA from 1 species
UUCGAUUUUUGAGAAAGUAAUCAUGUUGGGAGUCUGGCUCUCGAGAUUCGGAGGGCGAUGCCUCUUCGAUUUUGGAGCAAGCAAUCUUGUUGGGAGUGUUUUCUCGAAUGUGAGUAAAGGUUGGGCAUGUUUGCUAGUCUACCUUGCCACGAAGCACAGAGGUUGACACACAUGGACUUUCCAAUUAUCCAGCAGUGGUACUGUUCCUUUACCCUCUCUUCGAUUUUUGAGAAAGUAAUCAUGUUGGGAGUCUGGCUCUCGAGAUUCGGAGGGCGGUGCCUCUUCGAUUUUGGGGCAAGCAAUCUUGUUGGGAGUGUUUUCUCAAAUGUGAGUAAAGGUUGGGCAUGUUUGAUAGUCUACCUUGCCACGAAGCACAGAGGUUAACACACCGGGACUUUCCAAUUAUCCAGCAGUGGUACUGUUCCUUUACCCUUGUGGGUAAUAAUAUGGUAGCUAGACCUUCAAAAUUUAUGUGUCUAAACUUUGUUAGUGUUGU